GUAAAAAUUCCUUGCAAAACAAACUCACCGUUUUUGUUUCAACAGAGUCAGCCAUUUCAGAAAAUAAAGUCCAUCUAUUACCAUGAAACAUAUAAAUAGAAUUUGGAAAGAUAUAAGAUUAAGUUUAAACAGUCUACGGGCAAUAAUUGAAGACAUCAAUAAAUUGCGUAGUAUAGAAUGGGAUUAUUUCCGAAGAGCUACAAUUCACAAGUUUUCUAAAAGUCUCAAAACAGGUGAGGUGGAUUGUACAAUGCGUCAAUUUCCUUUGCUAAGCUAACUUUGUGCAAGGAUGUUUAAUACCAUUUCUUAUUUGUUGAAAACGACUUCUGCAAAGAUAAAGAUUUUGAUUGAUCAAAUUAGUGAUUAUGAUCUAUAUCUGUACUAGUUUCACGUGAUUCCAUUGGUGGAAGAAUUGCUAUUUCAGUACAAUUUUUACGCUCAUUAACACAAAUAAAACACUUACA
rnacentral:lncRNA from 1 species